rnacentral:rRNA from 1 species
GACGAACGCUGGCGGCGUGCUUAACACAUGCAAGUCGAACGGAAGGGCCCCUUUGGGGGUACUCGAGUGGCGAACGGGUGAGUAACACGUGAGUAACCUGCCCUUGACUUCGGGAUAACUUCAGGAAACUGGGGCUAAUACCGGAUAGGAAUCCUUGCUGCAUGGUGGGGGUUGGAAAGCUUCGGCGGUUUUGGAUGGACUCGCGGCUUAUCAGCUUGUUGGUGGGGUAGUGGCUUACCCAGGCUUUGACGGGUAGCCGGCCUGAGAGGGCGACCGGCCACAUUGGGAAUGAGAUACGGGCCAGACUCCCACGGGGGGGAGCAGUUGGGAAUAUUGCACAAUUGGCGGAAGCCUGAUGCAGGAACGGCGGGGGCGGGAUGACGGGCCUCGGGUUGGAAACCGCUUUCCGCAGGGGCGAAGCUGGUGGUGACGGUACCUGCAGAAGAAGCACCGGCUAACUACGUG